AGGGGGCGCCGCGUUGGAACGCCCGAAGAGGUGCUGCUGGGGUGGUUGGAAGCCGGUGGGGGGCGGGUGUAUGGCGGCUAGGCCUGGAAGACCACGAGGACCGCUAGCGCCGUGGGGUCACUCUUCCUCAUGCCACAGGUUGCCGAGCCUCGGGGGAGAGGUGGGGUCCCAGGGGCCAACCCUUGGGUGUGUUGAUGGCGGCAGGCUAACCCAGCCAACGGGGUGCCACUGCCGGGCAAGGUGAGGAGCAAGAAGAUUUCCAGGGCUGGGAGGUAGAGGGCCAGGACCCCAAGGAGAGGGCUUACUGCGAGGAGCAGCCCAGGAUGGAUAAGGAGUUGAGGCCCCAGGGAUGCUGAGCCUGCACAAGUGGAAGGGAAGACCACAAAAGCAUCCAACCACAGUCUGCGCUGCAGCCCGGCAGAACUAAGUCUUGGGCGCCGCGACGCCUUUCCUACGGAAUAGGUCCUGGAAGGAAGACCAUUUAAGGACUGGCGAGGAGAGCACGCCUUCCCUUCCGAAGGUGCGUUACCAGAUUGCUGCCGUUUUUGUGCUGGGUCAUCAGAGCAGAUUCCCCUCCAGGUUACAGAUUAAACUUAACUCUACCCGUGCUGAAAAUGGCCGGAGCACGCCGCCUCGCCUCCCCUCCCCAAGGCUGCCGGAGCCGCCGGCCCCUGCCUCCUUUUCGACGACUGAUCGUCCAAGGACUGGCGCCGGAUCCAACACCUUUCCCCAGCUCUGCGCGUACCGCGCUCUUUGGAAACGAAUUACUUCAGUGUGCUGAAAGUUCUCCCAUUGAGAGCACUUAUGCAGUUGGGUGAACUAUCUGCAUGAAAGUGACAUUUGCUCAUCUGUCUUUCUCGCUGAAGUCAUCGUCUAAAGGAUAUGUUGAAGCCGACCUCUUCCUCCCCAAAGAGAGCGUGUCAGGAAAAUGAAGCCUUUCUCUGUAUCUCCCUGUGGGGGAUUUCCUCGCUGCAUAGGUGUGUACUUGGCUGCAUGUUUGUGCUGGGCAUUGUGCUGGACCUAUGUAUCGAUGAUGAGAGAAGAAGCCUGUGGCCUGGGGCCUCCAUGCAAAUGCAGGCUGAUGGCGCGGUUAGGGGAGCAGACCCUUGUUCCUGUGAGCACUAGGAGUGCUCUAAAGCGACCACUCAUCUUUUGAGCCCCCUUUCACGACUCCCAAGUUGAUCAUUGGUGAUUUCCCCCAUUGCCAAGUCAGAGUGGACAUUUUCAGCAGACAGUACCCCAGCGGACUGCAGCUCUGCCCCUUCUGACAGAAGGCACAUUGGGAACGUGCAGAGCCCACAUCCAGGGUGAUGGCAGUUGUCACCAUCCAUGUGGAAAGACCUGGCCCCGGCCAGCUGCUGGGCCUCUUUGCACUGUAUUAAUAGCAAGGCCAUGGGGCCCACUGGGGUCGGGAGACGGGGGGGAUGGAGGACAGCUGUGGCGGACAUCACCGCAUGCUCCAGGCACGUGCGCCCGUCACAGGCAUACAGAUGGCCACACCUUGACCUGCCUCUCCAAAGCCCCCCAAGCCCCUGCCAGCCUUCUCCUUGUAGGGGCAGGAACUGGCUCGCACUGAUGACCCAUUUGACAAAGGAGCCAAAUUAAGAAUGGCAUGAUUGGAAUAGAGGGUUCCAGUGGCCCCGUGUUCAGGGUCAGUUUCUGCUUUUAUUGGACGCACAGGCAUGGGGGCCGAAUGAGGCAGUGGUAUUUAAACAGCUGGGGAUAUUAGGUUCUAUACGCCAAGGCUGGACAGAUAUUUUUAAAUGUCACAGGCCAAAUGGAAGCUCAGUUGGCAGCAGGAUGGAGGGGCAGGGGGAUUUGGAGGCCACUGCAUUGCCGUGGCUAGAUAUGGCCAGGAGAGCUGAGUGGGAUUAAGGCUUGGGAAGAAGCCAGCCUGGGAAGUGCCCGUGAAGAGGGAGCAGGGAGGAUCAUAUGAGGAAACAGUAGGCGCCAGGGGUGGCGGGCAGGCAAGAGCGCAGGUGCUGGGGCCAGGGGCGGACAGAACUGUGUGAAAGCACCAAGGACAGGGCCAGAGGAGCCAGGUCAGAGCCCAGCCCUAGGUCGGGAACACGUAGGGAGCAGAGCUGGUGGUUCAGGGCCCUGUUGUGGCAUCAGAGAGAUGUGAGCGCUAACCUCAGCACCCUGCUUUCCACUCCGGGGCCUUGGGGCGACUUAUUUAUCUGCCAAGGCAGUUUCCUGACUUCAGGGAAGGGGCCAGGAGAGAAUUAAGUAAGAACAAGCAGCACCUGACACUCAGAAAAGUGUCCCUAAAUGUUCGCCACCUUUAUUAAUAGUACAAAUUAAUGGGUGACCAGCCUCCAUUGUGGGAUGGAGCCGGAAGCUGCUCUCCAGGCCUGCUCUCACCCAGAUACAUGGUAUGUUUCGACCACACAGGAGUUCUUUUAAGGAUGAAUGAUGAUGACCGCCAACGUUUAGGUGUCCGCAGAUUUUACAGAAGCCUUUGGCCAUUUGACUUCUCCUGGUCUAGUGGAGCCUCUAGUUUUCUGGGGCCUGCCUCUUCCUGUCCAUAGACAACCGUAGCUGGGGUGCGGCCGCCCCCUUUCGGCCAGCAGCACACACACCCCUGUGCCUGCCACCACUUGUGCCUGUCACUCAUCUCUGAGUGGGGCCUGGCCUCCUUAGGCAUUUGCACUUGUUCUCCCUGCAGUAAAGUGGAGCUAUUAUUAUCUUAUAAGAAACAAGGGUCAUCAUCAGAAUUGGGCAGGGACCCAGCAACUGAGUUCUGGCCGGGGCCUCCUUGCCUUUGCUGUGACAUUGGUCUGGAAGACCUGGGCUGAUGGAUGAGCAUUGAAUGGCCGGGUCUGGGGAGCCAUCAUGGCUGCCUGCCUUCCUCCUGGUGGGCCCCUUAGUAAGCUGAGCAGAAACACAAAAUGGCUAGGGCAGUUACCAUAGCCACUUAACGUCUGUGCAUCCCUCGGCCUCCCUCAUUCUCGUCGGGAUAGGGAUGACUUAGGAAAGCCAGAGGAGGCCCAGGCUGCUAUGAAACCUGGGCCUUGCUUUUCAGCACAAGGAUUUCAAGAGGAGAGGAGGUGAGGGAGGAGGGGAGUUUCUGUUGGGGCUGUUGUGGGCCUCAGGCGGCCCCUGAGUUAAUCCGUAUUCGUAUUCAGAAUUCCCUCCUUUUCCUUAGUGGGUCAGAGUUCUCUCUUGCUCAUCCAGGCCUCAGAGAAGAAUCCAUGGUAGUUGUGACCACAGCUAGGCCUUAACUCCUUCAGAGCCAUGUACAUGAAGGCUCAGAAGAUCCCCUCAUCUUCUGAAGAAGUGUGAGUCUCCUCCUGUAGGCUUCCAAGGGACGCUAGGGUUAGCCAUACUUGCACAGCCUGCCCCACACUCAGGCUUCUUGGCACAGAGAAGCCCUUCCUCUUACUGAUUUAUGGUGCCUACCAUGUUCUAGGCAUUAGAGAAAUGCAUUAAUUUACUCUUCAUAGCAAACAUAUGGGAAAACUGAGGUACGCACAGGUCAGAUAGCUUGCCCAAGGCCACACAGCAGGAAAAUCGUGGAGUCCGGAUUUGAACUCCAGUGGCUGGUCAGGCUCCAGAGGUCGCCUUUCAAAUGCUGCCUGGAAAAUGAUGGAGCUGAUGGAGGAGUCCGAGGUGAUGGCUCUGGUGAGUCAGGAGCCUGCCAAGUCACAGGAGCUGGGGAAAGAGCACACUGGACAGAGGGGACAGCCAGUGGAAGGGCCCUGAGGUGGGAAAGAGCUGGCCAUGAGCUGUAGGGAAGCAGGAAACCAGUCUGGCUGCAGGAAGUGAGCAGGGGCCAGGGAAGGAGCUGGGGUAGCUGAGGAGGCAGCACCAUAAGGGCAGCCCACGGCCAUGGCACUGGGGUCUGAUUGCAAGUGCAGCGGGAAGCCCUGAGGCUUCUGAGCAGGGCCCUGCUGGCUUGAAGGUCUCCCUGACUAGGAGAUGGGAUUCUUGUGGCAAGAAGAGAGCGGGGAGAGCAGGAGCUGAGCUGCCCCACAUUGGGUAGCUGGGGUCUUUUCACUGAAGGGGAUCUGAUAUGGUUUGGCUCUGUGUCCCCACCCAGAUCUCAUCUUGAAUUGUAACUCUCACAAUUCCCACGUGUCAUGGGAGGAACUGGGUGGGAGGUGAUUGAAGUAUGGGGGUGGGUCUUUCCUGUGCUGUUCUCAUGAUAGCGAGUCUCAUGAGAUCUGAUGGUUUUAAAAAACGGGAGUUUGCCUGCGCAAGCGCUCUCUCUCUUUGCCUGCUGCCAUCCAUGUAAGAUGUGACUUGCUCCUCCUUGCCUUCUGCCAUGAUUGUGGGGCUUCCCCAGUCACAUGGAACUGUAAGUCCAAUUAAACCUCUUUCUUUUGUAAA